GAAAUCAAGGCUGGGUGAGACCUCGUGAAGAAACUAGAAGGCGACCCAUACUUGGUUUCAG
rnacentral:pre_miRNA from 1 species